UAUUGGUCAAUGGACGCGAGUCUGAACCAGCCAAGUAGCGUGAAGGAUGACUGCCCUAUGGGUUGUAAACUUCUUUUAUAUGGGAAUAAAGUUUUCCACGCGUGGAAUUUUGUAUGUACCAUAUGAAUAAGCAUCGGCUAACUCCGUGUCAGCAGCCGCGGUAAUACGGAGGAUCCGAGAGUUAUACGGAUUUAUUGGGUUUAAAGGGAGCGUAGGUGGACAGUUAAGUCAGUUGUGAAAGUUGGCGGCUCAACCGUAAAAUUGCAGUUGAAACUGGCAGUCUUGAGUACAGUAGAGGUGGGCGGAAUUCGUGGUGUGGCGGUGAAAUGCUUAGAUAUCACGAAGAACUCCGAUUGCGAAGGCAGCUCACUGGACUGUUGACUGACACUGAGGCUCGAAAGUGUGGGUAUCAAACA
rnacentral:rRNA from 1 species